GUCUACGGCCAUGCCACCCUGAACAAGCCCGAUCCCGUCUGAUCUCGAAAGCUAAGGAGGGUCGGGCUUGGUUAGUACUUGGAUGGGAGACCACCUAGGAAGACCAGGUGCUGUAGGAG
rnacentral:rRNA from 1 species